GGCUUUUCUUUUUCAAGCUUUUGGACAUGGCAGUGGGAUGAGUCGCCUCGGCUCCCAAAGGAGCGGUCCCUUUGGGAUAGGGGAUGGUUGGAGAGUGCAAAGUAGAAAGAGAAUAUUUUCAUAACUCUGGUUUUCCACAUCCAUCUUUUACAGGGAAUGAAGAUUACUAAUGAUCAGUGAAGUCUUCCUAGAUACUGAAGAGGAAGAAGUCAUUCUAGCUCAUAGGAAUCCUUAAUUCCACUUCAGACACCAAGUUGCAGAUGCUACCAUGACGGCAACCUGACUUCCCCCAGCAGACAAAUUCACCAGUGUACCCUGGAACCCCAUCUCUCUGGAGCCCUGCCCCACUAGGGAAAGAUAGAAACAGGAUGGAUUGACUUGCCAAUGCCCAUAUUCAGCGAAGAAGCAAUUACAGAAGCCAGACCUCUAAACUUCUGCACCACAUAAUGACCCUGGGUCCAUGCUUUCAGAAAUAAAGAAUAGGAAAGUGGAGGGGAUGGUAUAUGGAACUCUGGUGGUGGGAAAUGUGUGAAAUUUUACCUCUCUUAUCCUAUGAUUUUGUCGAUAUUUUAUAUUUUAUAAAUAAAUUAAACAUUUUGAUUGGCUUAAAUAUGAUAGCUUUCCUGUGAGUGCUAGAGCAAAUUGAUGAAGGAACCUAGAUUUUUUUCCUUUAUGCUUUUUGUUACAUGAAAAAAAAUAAAAUGCAUUUCAAGGUUAAGCUAUAAAGUUGAGCUUUAUUUCAUAUAUCUAAAUACAUCAUAAUCAUUCAUGUCUACUAACUUAGUAAAAUUAUCCAUUUUAGGAUUUAUCAUAGGGACUCACAUAUAGCAUGAGAAAAUCUCAGAAGCAUAGCACUUUAUUCAUCGUGUAUUUAGACACUGAUCAUUCAUAAUCUUAUUUACACUAUGAUUUUCUUAAUAAUGUAGGUGAGCCCUGUUACUCUCUCAGUGUGAUCAUAAAUGUGCAUAUGUACUCAAAAGUUGAUUUACUGUGAUAUUCAAGCCUAGUUAUUUUCAUCUAUUUUGUUAGUCUCACCAUUCUCUGUUUUCUAAGGGAAUGGACCCUAAUAUAGCCUAUUAAAAGCAUGUAAUGCAUUACACCUGUUCCAAGUUUCACCUCCUGUUUUCUCUUUCCUUAUUUCUUAAGUUCCGCUUAUAAAUGAGAUUAGUUUUUAUUCUUUCUCCUCCUUCUGGAUUAUUUUACCAUGAUUCCUACAAAUUCCAUCUAAGAUGUGUCAAAGGAGACGAUUUCAUUAUUUCUUACAGCUUAGUAAUAUUCUACUGUGCGUGUAAUCACAGCUUUCUUAAUCACUCAUCUGUCCUUGAGCAUGUGGGUUGCUUCCAGGUGUUAGCUAUUAUAACAGGGCUCCUGAAGUCAUAAGUGUACUUGAGUUAAUGGGGCAAUAGUAGAUACCUAUCAUGGGGAGAUAUGAAAUUGU